UUGUUUAUUCUCCCUCGUAGAGAAGGGAAAAAUCAGCUUUUUUUACUACCCAAUAUACUUCUUCUUCCUCGACUUAUGAUCAGAAUUGCAUUGCACCAAAUGUUUUCAGGAGCUUUCAAUUGUUGGCUUCUUUGAAAAUUACAAGUUAACUUAUAAUUUGGAAGCAUAUGAUGCAAUAACAAUUAACAAGUUUAAAUGAAUCAAGAACAUAAACUUCAGGUUCAGUUGAUUCUAAAUAAGCUACACAAAGCUAUUUUUAAAAUUUAAUGCAAGAGAAGGGCAUUAAACUUAAAUUGAACAUCAGCCUAUGAUUUUUAAUAUAAAAGUACGUUUGAACCUUAUCACACAGCAUACACAGGAUGAGGCAAAUAAUACCUUGUGGGGAGCCCACAGAUAGAAUCAGAUUAAUAUUAUCACUACCGAGUUGUAUAGAUUUUAAGAGAGAGUUCAAUGACGAAACUCUCGUUCUAACUCCAGAAACCUUUGCAGCAUGUUGCAUAACGAACGGCAAGGGCCCAUCUUCUAACAAUUGAUCGAGCUCUAAUACCAUUCAAAGAAACUAAAGAUCUCAUCUUUUAAUAACACACAUUUAUAAGAAAUAAUGAACCCAGCAAAUAAUUCAUCGUCAAAGAUAGUAUAAUUACCUCGGGUAUGACGAUCUAUGAAGCAAUUGAGGUGGUCUUGACUUUUGAGAGCAACCUGAGCUUUAGAAUCGAAGUCCCUGAUAAUACUAGCAAGCAUCAGAAAUGAACCCUUGACCAACGCUUUGCUGCUCUUGUUGUUUCCAUUGUCAGUGUUGAUCUGACAUUGCUGUUCUUGGGGGUUGUUUUCACUGAGAUUGUUAUUUCCAUUAGAGGAAACUAAGGUCUAAUUGAAAAGAAACAGCAAUAUUACUUUCCUCACUAGGAUUUCUGUUGCGGCGGUCUUGUGGGGAUUCCAUUUUCAGUAAUGAAUUAUCAAGCAUCCCAGGAAGAAGAAGAGGAAUCAUAUGUGGCAGAUUUGAGUUCGAGGUUUCUAACGAAUGGGCUAAGCAGCCCAUUUAACAGUUCCAUUGGAUCUCAAUGAGUCCCAUCAUAUUUUUCAUGGACCGACAGACCAAAUAUAUACAAAGACGAAAAUAACCCUUGAGAUGCCUGAGGUCCGAUUGGGGUUUCCUAUUGCCUAU
rnacentral:lncRNA from 1 species